UCAACAGUGGGUGGAGAAGGGGACAAUGGGGUCACAGACCCAGGGCCAGGCACUGUGCUGGGCUCCAACGAUGGCUUCUCUGAGAGAACCAAGUGCCUGAGCCUCUCCUCAGGAAGAAAAAACCCCAAGGAAACCAUGCCAAAGGGUGAGGACAGGGAACAAAAGAACAGAGUGACUCUGCAAGCAGAACAAACCGACGGCCUUGAUUCAUCGCCGCCACACACCUAGGUGCUGCUGCUGUUUCUUUAGAGCCCUGCCGCAGCCAGGCUCGGGAUUCCUGAUGUUGCCCCAUCUUCGGGUUGAGCUCAGCAUCAUCACUAUGCCCGGUGCAGGCCUCUGCCAGCACCCACACUCACUGUGAACGCCAGGGAGCCCGGCCACUGCAGGCAGGGCUCCUGCCCUCCUCCCCGGGGCUGUGCUCCCCUGUCCUUGCCCUGCCGGCCUGCCUGCUGCUGGCUCUUCUCAGGGGGCCACGCUGGUUUCUCAAGGCAAAGGGUGAUUCUGUGUGACUCGUGUCCAGGGGGCAGUGAAGCAAAGGACAAGCAAAUAAAGCAAGCAGAGAGCUGGGUGGACUGUACCUGCAGGAGGAGAGUCUGAUUCGCUGCCCUCUACGGCAGAGAAGACCCCAGCCUCUAGUGAGGGGCGCAGCACUUCGUCCCAGUGCCUCUGCUGCUUCCAGGGUCUGGGAGGGGAGAGGAACUGAGUGAAGGCCUGGCACAGCCCUCCCAGAAUCUGGACCGAACCCCUUGUCUAGGAUGACUCCUGCCCAACUGAGUUGGGACCCUUCAUCCUCUUCCCCCUCCCUGGGAGAGACAGUACAGCGGUCCUGUGAUCUGCCUGUGUUUCCUGGUCUCCAUCAGCCCAGUCUGAAAAUGCUAACGGGACCGUUCCCUAGAUGAACAAUUCCUGCUUGAAGCUUCACACUGUUCCCAGCGUUGGGGGGACCUUGCACACCUCCUGCUCACAGCCUGCUCCAUGGCCUUGCCUGGUGUACGCGCUGUCCAGGUGGUCACUAACACCAUCUUGAUUAUCAGGCAGACUGUCGUGGUAUGGCAGUACUGUGUUCAAAUAACACCUAGUAGUGUCACAUCUGGGGGACAAGCACCAUUGCUCUGGUGUCUGAGCAGCCCACCGGGAUCGUAACUCAGCCUUAACAAUAAACUGGACAAAGUUUAACAAAAGGAAGACACUUCAUUUGUAAAGAGGAAAAGCAGAGAGAAAGGAGCAGGUAGACAGCUCCCCUGAUGAGAAAGAACCAGCAUAGGGGCUCAGAAAGAUGGAGGACCGGGCCCUUUGUUCCCAGCUGCUUUUAUGGGGAUGAGUGACUCUUCCCAUGUGGCGUAACUGGACUGGCUUCCGGGCACUGCUGUCUAACAUUAUUUCCCCCGUGAUCUCUGUGCGGCUUCCUUCUGUUUCCUUGUCCUUGAGCUUCCUUCUCAGGCCUUAUCUUUGGGGUGGGCGGUAGUUGCCAAGGGGGUGCCUUAUUCUUGAUUCACUUAAGUGGGCUUGUGGAUGUCUAUUGUACUCUGUAAUGACCCUAGAGUGAAUAAUACAGUGACCCUAGAGUGAGUACACAUGUAUGUGAGUGUGUACAUCAGUGCAUAGGUGUGAGCGCACACGACCUUAAGGUCAGUCAGCCCCUCUUUGCUUCCCGACCAUCUAUUGGAGGGGGGCGGCUUAUCAUUUGAGACCUGGCUUCUCUCUCUGUCCUGCUGUCAGCUCUGUUUCUGGUCUCCUAGUGCAGGUCCCAAGGCCAUUUGGUUCGUUUCUUUGUCUGUUAUUUUUUUCCUCCUGUCUUUGUCUUGUUUCUCAGGGGAAUCUCUCUAGUAAAGUUGCUUUUAACUCCUUCUAGUAGGAAUUACCUAGAAGACCUAAGGAGGCCCUUGCUUUAUUUUCUUGUCUACAAACCUCCGUGUCUACAUCAGCGGCCCCAGAGGACAGGAGCAAUGACACUGGCUGUUUGGAAAUGCCAAUGCGAAGCUGAGAAGAGCAUCCUUAAGCAAAAUACUGAAAUCCUUGAUUUAAUCAGGAGAGAAAAAAGCCACAUGCUGAGGUUGCUAAGAUCUGUGGUUUUUCUGCUCCGAGACUCAAGGAAAUGGGACAUAGGAAUAGCAAAUAGACUGCGUCACGCUCAGCUCAGCUGUAUGCCUGGACUCCAGAUGAACAAAUGCCCAAAGAACCUUCGAGAGGGUUGAUUCCACCACAGUGGCCCGGAGUAACUCGGGACGCACUGCUUUCAGGCUCACUCUGGAGCAGGCUCAGAAAGACUGGCUUCCCGCUGGCCCAGCUGCAGCAGGGAGGCCCAGCCCUCUACAGCUGCUUCCCAGUGCCUCAUGGUAAGGAGACAGGGAUGGCGCCCUGUGCCAGUGACAGACAAUGCACGGCCACAGUCUGCUGCCACUAGGCGGGGGUCCUUGGCUCAUCCCUGCUGGAGACCAGCUGUGUGCACCCCAGGUCCAGAGACGGGACGUGGCCUUGCUUCCCUUUUGGUGCUAGGCUGUGCAAACUGGGAAAGCUGUCUGCAUUAAUCUUGAGUAGAGAAGGCAAAUCCUCAAAGACCUGGUUUUGCCUGAUGCUUAGCUGUGUUUGUCCGGGAACUUUUCUCCCACGGUUCAUUAAUCACAUUACCCAUCUGAAUAUCGGGCGGUUCUCUGUGUGUCGUGCAGGUCUUCUCUGGAAUAGGAACCCCUUGUCUACCUUUCUCCUCGUCCAACCGCUUCCUGACUUUUCGUCUUGCUCGUAUUCUGAAAUGAAACCCUUCUGAAAGAAACACUUUCUUUCAGCAGCACUCCUGAAAUUCACCUAGAAAGUCUUGUCCAACAAAGUUUUUUGGCCACUGGAAUCGCAACACUUACUUGGAGUUGGAUUUAAUGAUUCAAAAGUGAGCUGUCUUUCUUUCACACUGGACUUGCAGACUCAGUCACCUGGCACCCAUGGGUGGGCGCCCUCUGUCUACACUGCACACCCUUGCCCUUAAGCUGAGUAGUUUUCUGAUACCUGUUCUCUGUACCUAUAAUGGCAGCUCUGCAGAACUGAAGGGAUGUUGAGGGUCCAGAGCCUCUGCGCCCUCUCUGCCUUGCUUGGCUGGUGUCCUGGCUGCUCCACAGCUAGCACAGUAUUCUGCCCUGAGGACCCAAGGGAGCGGGAGCUGUAGAGCGGAGCACUGGUUAUGCUGCUCCUCAAGUUUUCCAGGCCGGGGGUGGGGGUGGGGCUCCCUUACAAGGAUCCUCAGCUCCCGGACACUGGUGUCUUCUGGAGAUCCAGAUCAUUCUGAUUCUUCCCAGUUUCGGUUCAGCUUUCCAGCAUUUCAUCUGGGAAGAGUUUGUACUCAACUUGCUCAGCAAGAACUUUAACCAUUUUGUAAAAAUCUCGAUAGUUGUUCUCAGGAGCAAGUCAUCGCAGUGAUUUUUCUCUUCUGUCUUCUUGGCUAACCACAUGCACGUGGUCACAAACAUCCUUCCAGGGAACUGACCGCAGAUCACUUCUCAUGGUCACUAAUGCUCUGAAGAGAAGUCCUCUGCUUCCUUCAGCUUCUUUGGCUUUCUGUCCACCUGGGCCAACCUCCGUGGGGAAGAAGUAAGACCAAAGAUGGCAGCAGCAGCUUGCUCUCUGCCACCUUCCCCUCAUGGCUUCCUUCCCAAGCACAGCUCGCCCUAAGCCACGCCCAUGGCCCCUGCCUGCUCCCUGAUCAACAAUUCCGAGGAAGGGCAGACUCCUUCACAUUGCUACUUGCUUGCUGUCGUGCACCAAAAUAGUAAUUCCUCUUCCUCCUCCUUCAAACACACGCUUGCCUGGUGACUUUCACAAAAGAAAGAAAACAUGCUCACUUCCUGGGCUUCUGCCAGAUUUCCCUCCAUUUCAAAGGGACUCGUUCUCCACAGCUUCGAGGCUCAGCUGGCCCACCCCAGGGUGCAGCCUCAGCUGCGCUUGACAUUUCCUCCAGACCUGCAUGGCCCCACAGGUGACCUCGUGGGCUGAGAGAUGAGUGUUCCAUUAUUUGCUUCCUGUUUUCUUGGCGGCUUGGGCUGGAGGGGACUGGGAGCCACCGUGAGAGCUGCUGAGGACAGAAGUCCGCUCAUGUCCACCACCAACAGCUCCACAGAGGUCUAGGGCACUCCGCCGCCCUCCAGAACUGUGUUGAAAUAUGACAGAGAACUUCAGCUUCCUGUCUCAACUUCCUCUCCCCCAGAAUUCUCAUUCAGGAGCCUCAAGCCUGUGGACCGACAUUCCCGAGUAACCAGCACCAGUCUGUCCCUUGUAGAGAUCUUUCUUUCCCAGAUCUUUCUUUCCCAGGUACAGCGCCAUGGACUAAAGGCUGAGUUUGUCAUCAUCAGACUGUCCUGGACCAGCCCUGUGAAUCCAGCGGUGGUUGCAGUAUGAUCUUGGGUACAGACUGGCCUCUGGGAACCCAGGCUUCUUCACCCGGGACCUGAUUUCUACUUCCAGGUUUCUUCUGAAUUAAAAAGAAUCCAUGCAAAAUUUCUUGUGCCGUGCUUGCUACGAAAUAAAGCG